UCUAAAAAAAGACAAAUCUGGUUCCGUAUCCAACGUUGGACUCUCCGUCUUAUAUGAAUUUUUUUUUAUAAUUAGUAUUUUUCAUUAUUGUUAGAUGAUAAAACAUGAUUAAUACUUUAUGCGUGACUUGUCUUUGUAAUUUUUUUUAUUUUUUUUCAAAUAAGACGGAUGUUCAAACGUUGGAUACGGAAACCUAGGGUUUAUCUUUUU
rfam:Oryza nivara chromosome 10, whole genome shotgun sequence.